UCUAGAGGUUAAAUGGAGUGCUCUGAAGUUGGAUUGACUCUGCACUCCUGGUGAAUACAGUGCUUCUCAACCUGGCCACGCCUGCUAACCUCUUGUGUCAUCAGAUGAUCAGGGAGGGAGGUUAUUGAAUAAAGAUAUGAACGGCGCCACUCUCAGAACAGUCCUCUGGACCUUAUUAGCCACAUGUUAUCAUGCUCGGUGUCUUUCCCUAAUCUUGUUUCUGCCUAAAACCUCUGAUGGCUUCCUGAUUACCUGGGAAUACAAUUCAAACUCCAUACCCUGAUUCAUGAGACCCUUAAUAGUCUGGCCUUGUGGACCUCUUUGACCUUGACAAUGAUCAUUUCGCCUCAUUCAGUGUGAUGCCGUCACAGAGGCAGCGUUUCAGUUUCAGAAGGUGCCUGGAUUCUCAGGGCCAUUGGCGAUGGCUUGUCAAAAUUUUAAAUGAAAAUGUGUUUGGAGAUGAGUGGAGCACUGGGAUUCAGAAGCUGAUUGUGCGGCUCUUGCUGGCCUGGAAGGCUAAACGGUCUUUCCUGUGAACUUCACCUGUACUGAGGAAGUAUGGAUGACUCACCUUGAAAGAAUUGCCCGUGGGAAGCUGGCCGGAUUCCUCUUCCUGGCAAGGUGGAGCCACAUUCUUUUCCUUUUUGAGUAGUAGCAGUGCUCUACCUGCUUGUGACAUCACUCAGCACCCAGGAAGUGUUCUUGGGAUGGCCCUUUCUUUAGGACUGUGGGUGCCGCUCAAGUGUCAGUGACCACACAGGCUUCUUCACAUUUCCACAGCCAGUUGGCAUUCCAGAGGCAUCAUGUUCAACUGACUCAGUUCUUAAUCAUCAGAGGCACGAUGACAGAGUGGAAAUUUGGUUUCCAAAGGGAAUUACUGAUAUUAUAAUGCCUGGCCAAAAUACAUUUUCUUCACAUACAAAAAUAGUCUCUUGACUCUUGAAUCCGUUUUUUUUUUUUUUUUCUUAUGCUUUUAAUAAUGGAAAAUAGUUUCGCCAUACUUCUUUGGGGGAAAAGACAGGAAAUCUCUUUUUCCUUUUCUGUUGAGAUUUAGUGUUAAGUGUGAAGUAACCAAUGGAAUAUUAGCUAUAUAUCUUAAUAUACACAAACAGCUUGUGUGUAGACAGAUGGAAAGAUGAAGCAAUUCAGUAGUUACUUUCAGAGGAGGGCAAAGUAAGAAAAAAAAAAGCAAAAAUGAACAACAAUUUCAUAAUAUUCUUUGCAGUUUACUUCACUGCCCAUUUUUUUUUACGCUUAGUGACCUUCCCGUCAUGCCAGACUUUUGAAAAAAAAAAUUGAGACAAUGUAAGCAGGAAAUGUAUAUUCUAUGUUUACAGGAGGAUUUAAAUGAGAAACAAUGGCAUUGACCAAAUUAAUAAACUUUAUUCUUAUUGGGCA
rnacentral:lncRNA from 12 species